UGAUGCUUAGGUGAUGGGGUUCCACCUUCAACCGCCCAUUUUUGGUGCUGAUGACUCCUACUUCAAC
rnacentral:ncRNA from 2 species